rnacentral:lncRNA from 1 species
GUCAAAAAGCCAAGCACUCAUCUGUGUGGGUGGGUACACUUGCAAAAUCUUGCUUUAUUUGCCUGUAUACAAAUUUCUUCUCCCAGUAAUCCUUCUGAAAUUCAGUGUGUGGAAUGGGUAGUGCUUCAUUAGACUCGCUUUAUUCUUUAGAGAGCAGAGUAAAUAACACAAAAAGCAAUGAGAUUAAGGUUACAAAGGCAGCUUUGAUUUUGGCAAUUCAACUUUCAUUUUGGCAAUACCUAAUUUUUAUUUCUUGUCUUAGCAAACUUAAUGAGUUGAGACUUUGAAUUUUUUAAUACAGCUUUUAUUUUGUGUUGUGGGAAAUAUGUUGGGAAUUUACCUUAAUAUACUACAAUAAAUGACCAGAAUGCUAUCUUCUUUAGCAGUAUGUACUGUACUGAGUUACUAAGUUCUACAUUGCUAUACACUAUGUACGUGCCAUACAGUACAUGGCUAUAUAAAAGUUCACAUAUUUCUUCCUUAGGUCCUGUGGCAUACAGACCCUUUAGAGUUAUGGGCUUCAGCUCCAUCACAACAUCCAUACAUGUAUUGGUGGUGUCUUGACUGAACCACGCUGGUGUACACUGAAUUGGAGAGUCAGGAUCAAGUAUUCAAAACCAGACAUCAGUUGAGUGAACAUCACAAACAAAUCCAUCAUGAAGAAGCACCAAACCCACAAAUGAAAGAGAGGAAGAGAAGAACAAAGUCUGAAGAGAAUCCUGUGUGUUUCAACACAAAAGCAACUUGAAAGUAGAAUUCAAGCUAAUUUAAAUGCAGUAUCUACAUACCUACAGUAGGUCUGCAGAGUGCUACCAAAAUAAAUGGAUCCUCAGUAUUGGUUGAAUGGAAACCUUAAAUUCAGAGAAGCUUAUGUUCCAAAUUGAAUUCAGAAGAGCUUGGGCCUUCACACUGCCUGACAUCACACGGCUGAUGAGGUGUUCGGCUGUAGUUUUUGCUGCUCUUCUUCCCCUGACAAACAACUUCUCUGAAAAUACAUUAAGAAAUAUCACCCGAGUUCAGGAAUCUCAUUAAUUAGUUCCCAGGUCAUCUUUACUCUCAAACCACUCCCUGUAGAACAUUAGGUUCUUAAACUUCUACCUAAGCAUUCCAGCAAAGAAAGAAGUUGUUGGCAUUGUCAGGCUUUCAUGUUGAAAGCCAGGGAUUAUAUAUAAGAGGAGAAGAAAUUGUUCUUACGUGGCAAUUAAAAGCACUUAAGAGUGGUCUUUCCAAAGUGCUUUGCAUGGGGUAUGGUACAGGUGAUAACUCCAACGUGCUGAGAGGAUUCAGGGGAUUUGUCCUGUCCAAGGGAUAAAUGUGUUGAUUUCUGUUCUAGUUACCUCCUGCUGAUACAUUCUUCUUACUUAAAAAUGGAGAGAUUGAAUUUCAAAGCAGAAUCAGUUGAAACGUGUCAAAGCUGACUGUGAACCUUACAAGUGCUUUCUUCUUUUUGUCUUUAAUUUUUAACACAAUCUCUAUAUAAAACAGUAAGUGAUUCAAGAAAAUAUACUGAUGCUGUAGAAUUCAGUGGAGUAAACAUUUCUUCGUUGUUACUUUUUAUAAUAAAAUGAGUAUGUUAUCAUAGGCUUAUCCA